UACGUAGGGGGCAAGCGUUAUCCGGAUUUACUGGGUGUAAAGGGAGCGCAGGCGGUAUGGCAAGUCAGAUGUGAAAACCCAGGGCUCAACCCUGGGACUGCAUUUGGAACUGUGCUGCUAGAGUGUCGGAGAGGCAGGCGGAAUUCCUAGUGUAGCGGUGAAAUGCGUAGAUAUUAGGAGGAACACCAGUGGCGAAGGCGGCUUACUGGACGGUAACUGACGCUGAGGCUCGAAAGCGUGGGGAGCAAACAGG
rnacentral:rRNA from 1 species